GGGGAUGUGGCUUAGUGGUAGAGCAUUUGCCUGGCAUGUGUAAGUCCCUGGGUUUCAUCCCCAGCACCACCA
rnacentral:tRNA from 1 species